rnacentral:rRNA from 1 species
AUGCUUUCACAACUUGACUUCAAAAUAUUUGGUUUGGAGACCAUCAAAGAUCAAUAUGUGCAUGAUGCUGAUUUUAAAGAUGUAUUGCAGAAUUGUAAAGAAGGAAGAACCUGGAACAAGUUUGUCGUUAAUGAUGGAUUUGUGUUCCGUGCUAACAAGCUAUGCAUUCCAGCUAGCUCUCUUCGUAUUUUGUUGUUGCGGGAGGCGCAUGGAGGAGGAUUAAUGGGACACUUUGGCGUGAAGAAGACGGAGGACGUACUUGCUACACAUUUCUUUUGGCCAAAGAUGAGACGGGAUGUUGAGCGGGCUGUUUUGAAGAGUAAUAAGAAAAUGUGGGAAGACUGCUUGCCUCAUAUUGAGUUUGCUUAUAAUCGUUCAUUGCAUUCUACUACUAAGAUGUGCCCUUUUGAAAUUGUGUAUGGUUUCCUACCUCGUGCACCUAUUGAUUUGUUGCCUCUUCAAUCUUCGGAGAAGGUUAAUUUUGAUGCUAAACAACAUGCUGAAUUGAUCUUAAAAAUGCAUGAGUUAACUAAGGAAAACAUUGAGCGUAUGAAUGCUAAAUAUAAACUUGCUGGAGAUAAGGGUAGAAAACAUGUUGUGUUUGCACCUGGAGAUCUUGUUUGGUUACAUUUGCGUAAGGAUAGAUUUCCUGAUUUGCGCAAAUCAAAGCUAAUGCCACGUGCUGAUGGUCCUUUUAAGGUGUUAGAGAAAAUAAAUGAUAAUGCAUAUAAACUUGAGCUGCCUGCAGAUUUUGGGGUUAGUCCCACUUUUAAUAUUGCAGAUUUGAAGCCUUAUUUGGGUGAGGAAGAUGAGCUUCCGUCGAGGACGACUUCAUUUCAAGAAGGGGAGGAUGAUGAGGACAUCAAUACAAUUAUUACACCCACAGUCCCUACUGCUAUACAUACUGGACCAAUUACUAGAGCUCGCGCACGCCAAUUAAAUUACCAGGAAACAGACCCUCGUGGUCAGGUUGAUCGUGCUCCGGCGUGGUCGAUAACCUCUCGGAGUUGGUUUAGCGAUUGCUAA